rnacentral:lncRNA from 1 species
AGCUGAAAUUUUAGCAUCAGUUUUGUGGAAUUUGUGAUACAGUUUUCAUUAUUUUUUAUUAUUAAAAAUUAUUUUUUUUAUUAAAAACUAAAAAGUUUUUUAUUUGAUCAAUUUAAUGCAUCCAUGCUGAAUACAAUAAUUUUUUUUAAAAACCCAAAACUUCUGAACAAUAGUCUAGCUCCUUUUUUCAAAACACAGUUUGAAUUUGAAUUUUUAUUUUCAUUCUUUUUUUAUUUUUAUUCUUAAUCUUACAUUCUCAAACAUUUGAACAACUGUGUAGCUCAAUUUUACAAAACACAAUUUGACUGACUAUUUUCUCAUUGGAUGUCACGAGCGGACACGUACCAGUCAGCCAAUCAGAGUGCUGUGUUCUUUACCAGCACCUCAUUUGGCAUCUAGGGCUUACAAGUCAUACGUUAUCUGUCACUGCAUGCCUGUAGGGAAAUUAUUCAGUUAUGACGGGCAUUUUUAGCCUAAAAUAUCCUCACAUUUCUCUCUCACUUUCUCAUCUAUACAAAAUUAAUUAAUUAAAAAACACACACAGGCUUAAUCACACUUUUCCCUUCACUUUUCUUCCAUUUGCACCUUUGCCCCUGGCCAAAACACAUCAUCAAACGCACAUGCAUCACAACACAUAUGAACUCAUUUGCGGUAAACACAAACUCACUGGCAGGCACAAGGGAACACACUGUGUGCAGCAGAUAUAGGCUUACUAUUCACAGCGGACUGCUUUCUGCCCGAUUAGAAGGUCAUUUCCACUUCUGUCAAACUUUCAUACCUUCUCCAAUAGUUCAAUCAGUAAUGUAUGUACUAAUGGUUCCCUCAUACUAAUGGUUAAACACCAUUAAAACCAAUCUCAAGUCACACCCACAGGAGAGUAAGACCACAAAAGACAUUCUCUUGAAUAUCUCUAAAUGUUUCUCCUAGACAGCAAUUGUAUUAAAUUGAGUGGUAAGCAAGAAGAGAUCAACAAUUUCUCAAACAUACUCAGGUUUCUAAGAUACCAAAGUCUGUAAUCAAAAUUGAGCUCAUUUCCGCAUUUUCUGAGCUAAGCAAUCAACAUUAAUUUUACAGCUCUGUACACUUUCUGAAGUUCUCACAGUUAAGAACCUCUUCCUCUAAGCAAUAACAUUUUAAUCUCUGCAUUCAUAACCUUUUUGGAGUCAAGACAAUCCUGAAGGCCAUGAACGCUGUGGGUUUGACUGACUCGAAAGCACAUUUGUUUUUCUAUCACAGUGGAGCGAGCAUUCCAUAUUGUUUUUAUACAAAGCUAAUGACAUUUUAUUUCUCCUAAACCUACACUUCAUGCUCACAAGCCUGACUGCAUUUUCACAUUUUCAUUAAGACAAUAAUUAGUAUGUAUAUUAUGAAGUUUCUCAUGGGGACUGUUAAGUU